rnacentral:rRNA from 1 species
AGGCAGCAGUGGGGAAUAUUGCACAAUGGGCGUCAAGCCUGAUGCAGCCAUGCCGCGUGUAUGAAGAAGGCCUUCGGGUUGUAAAGUACUUUCAGCAGUGAGGAAGUGGGUAUGUUAAUAGCAUAUUCAUUUGACGUUAGCUGCAGAAGAAGCACCGGCUAACUCCGUGCCAGCAGCCGCGGUAAUACGGAGGGUGCGAGCGUUUAAUCGGAAUUACUGGGCGUAAAGCGCAUGCAGGUGGUUUGUUAAGUCAGAUGUGAAAGCCCGGGGCUCAACCUCGGAAUUGCAUUUGAAACUGGCAAACUAGAGUACUGUAGAGGGGGUAGAAUUUCAGGUGUAGCGGUGAAAUGCGUAGAGAUCUGAAGGAAUACCGGUGGCGAAGGCGGCCCCCUGGACAGAUACUGACACUCAGAUGCGAAAGCGUGGGGAGCAAACAGGAUUAGAUACCCUGGUAG